rnacentral:rRNA from 1 species
GAUGAACGCUAGCUACAGGCUUAACACAUGCAAGUCGAGGGGCAGCAUGACGAUAGCUUGCUAUUGUCGAUGGCGACCGGCGCACGGGUGAGUAACGCGUAUCCAACCUUCCCGUUGCUAGGGGAUAACCUUGCGAAAGUAAGACUAAUACCCUAUGAAGUUCUUCGCAGGCAUCUAAAGAGAACGAAAGAUUUAUCGGCAACGGAUGGGGAUGCGUCUGAUUAGGUUGUUGGCGGGGUAACGGCCCACCAAGCCUACGAUCAGUAGGGGUUCUGAGAGGAAGGUCCCCCCACAUUGGAACUGAGACACGGUCCAAACUCCUACGGGAGGCAGCAGUGAGGAAUAUUGGUCAAUGGACGGAAGUCUGAACCAGCCAAGUAGCGUGCAGGAUGACGGCCCUAUGGGUUGUAAACUGCUUUUAUAAGGGAAUAAAGUGAGCCUCGUGAGGCUUUUUGCAUGUACCUUAUGAAUAAGGACCGGCUAAUUCCGUG